GGGGCUGUAACGGUUUCGACGUUUUGGCGAACGACAUUUCGUGAUACAGGUCAGAGUGAGUCUCCUCUCGAAAAUCAAAGGCUCAAAACACGUACAUGCGAACAACAUCGUACCCUUUGCUCGUAAAGCAGCAGCUGUUGCCUAACAAAAACCUCUUAUAGGUUCGAGCGUCUAUGGUUUGACUCCGUUAAGGACUGUAGACACAACCCCAACGGAUGCUCCAACUAGCUGCCUCUAGUCAAUAGUUGGCUAAGACUUUACUAGAGAAUCCCAUUGUCCGGGAUAAUGGACAGUUCCCGCUUCGAGGAUUAGAGAAGCUAAACCUGUGAACGAUCGGAAUGCUAAUACCCAUGGCGGACACGGGUUCGACUCCCGUCAGCUCCAUUA
rnacentral:tmRNA from 1 species